CCUACGGGUGGCAGCAGUGGGGAAUAUUGCACAAUGGGCGCAAGCCUGAUGCAGCAACGCCGCGUGCGGGAUGACGGCCUUCGGGUUGUAAACCGCUUUUAGUAAGGAAGAAGGGGGGCCUUCGGGUUUCUUGACGGUACUUGCAGAAAAAGGACCGGCUAACUACGUGCCAGCAGCCGCGGUAAUACGUAGGGUCCGAGCGUUGUCCGGAAUUAUUGGGCGUAAAGAGCUCGUAGGCGGUUUGUCGCGUCUGCUGUGAAAUCCCGAGGCUCAACCUCGGGCCUGCAGUGGGUACGGGCAGACUUGAGUGGUGUAGGGGAGACUGGAAUUCCUGGUGUAGCGGUGGAAUGCGCAGAUAUCAGGAGGAACACCGAUGGCGAAGGCAGGUCUCUGGGCACUUACUGACGCUGAGGAGCGAAAGCGUGGGGAGCGAACAGGA
rnacentral:rRNA from 1 species